rnacentral:misc_RNA from 1 species
AAUUGCGUGUAUCUGAUGGAUUUUGCCAAUCCUGGAAACUCUUAGCUUCAAGGAUAAAGAAGAACAAAUUUUCAAGCUGCAUAGAAACUACUUUCAAAGGCAGGAAAGAAGAAAAAGAAUCCAAGAAAGAACAUGUGUGACAGUGAUUGUAGACCUUUGGGCUUUCUGUUAGGCCUUCCUUUUGCUUUUCUCGCUCUCCUUAUCUCCAUUGUUGGGGUCGUUGUUUGGAUCGUCGGGUUGUUGUUGACAUGUAUAUGCCCUUGUUGUUUGUGCGUGACCAUAAUAGUGGAGCUGGCUCUGGAGUUGAUCAAGGCCCCUAUCCAUGUCAUGGAGUGGUUCACUUCUCAGAUACCUUGUUAAUUGGGGAUUCUUAACACAGAUAGUGAUUGGGAUUUAGAUUUGGGAUUGCUUUGUUUUUAUAUUUUGUAUGUUCUUUGUUGAUUAUUGUAGGG